GCACUUCAUUGUGUGUACUGGGGACCUAGGUCUUUUACUUUGAAAAAAUUAGAGUGUUUAAAGCAGGCUUAUGCUUGAAUACAUUAGCAUGGAAUAAUAGAAUAGGACUUUGGUUCUAUUUUGUUGGUUUCUAGGACCGAAGUAAUGAUUAAUAGGGAUAGUUGGGGGCAUUAGUAUUUAAUUGUCAGAGGUGAAAUUCUCAGAUUUAUGAAAGACUAACUUCUGCGAAAGCAUUUGCCAAGGAUGUUUUCAUUAAUCAAGAACGAAAGUUAGGGGAUCGAAGACGAUCAGAUACCGUCGUAGUCUUAACCAUAAACUAUGCCGACUAGGGAUCGGACGACGUUUAAUUAUUGACUCGAUCGGCACCUUAUGAGAAAUCAAAGUUUUUGGGUUCCGGGGGGAGUAUGGUCGCAAGGCUGAAACUUAAAGGAAUUGACGGAAGGGCACCACCAGGAGUGGAGCCUGCGGCUUAAUUUGACUCAACACGGGGAAACUUACAGGUCCAGACAUAGUAAGGAUUGACAGAUUGAGAGCUCUUUCUUGAUUCUAUGGGUGGUGGUGCAUGGCCGUUCUUAGUUGGUGGAGUGAUUUGCCUGGUUAAUUCCGAUAACGAACGAGACCUUAACCUGCUAAAUAGUUACGCGAAUAUUUUAUUCGUGGUUUAACUUCUUAGAGGGACUAUAGAUUUUUAAUCUAUGGAAGUUUGAGGCAAUAACAGGUCUGUGAUGCCCUUAGAUGCUCUGGGCCGCACGCGCGCUACACUGAUGAAGUCAACGAGUUUCAUCC
rnacentral:rRNA from 1 species